UCCCACACAUUGCAUUUCUUGUUUUAAUGGGGUUUUUCACUAUUUACAUUUUUAAAGGGGAUUUUCACAGGAUAAUGUCUUUGGUAGACAUGGUAUUUUGUUAAGUCUUUGGUAUACUUCUAUUACUCCACGGGUUGGAGGAUUGCCUUUGGUAGGCAGUAGUAGUUAUGUGCACAUUUCCUCUUUGGUAAGAGGUUCACCUUUGGCCAGGUGUUAAAAAGAAUUUCAAGCCUUUGGUAGGCUGUGAUGUCCUGUGAUGUACAUUUACAUAUGGGAGACGUCCCUAGAUCCCUCUUUGGUAGAGGUUGCCUUUGGUAGGUUGUAAAACAGAUUUCCAGUCUUUGGUGGACUAUGGUAUUUAUUUAACGUAGAUGUAAAUUUUGCAGGCUAAAAUGGUUUAAAAAAAAAAAAAAAGAUGAUGGAUGUUUGGCAUUACUCCGGCUUGCUAAUUUAUGUGCUAUUUUAUGGUGUGCAACGCUGAUUUUAAGCAUAAAGUCUUAAUUGAGGGAAUGUCAAAAGUACAUGUAAAGGUGAUGAUGAAUAAGAAAAAAAUUAGAGGUUAUUUAAGGGGGGCUACAAAUUCUAGAACUAACAUGAUUUCUCUGCAUGUAUGUUUGUUUGCAUAAUGAGCCCUUAUUUUUAUACUUGGACAAAAGUACUAUAAGCCCACUACACUUUUUCAUGAGAGUGGGAUGUAUGAUUGUUUAUAUGAUGAGCCCUUUAUUUUCAUAUUGGGACAAAAAGUCACUUCAUUCAAAAUGUCAAACACCACAUUCUUUCUGCCCUGUGUGUUUGUUGCAGAGAAUUUAUGUUGUAAAUUUAGAAGAGAGCAAAAUUUAUAUUUUCAGCGUUCCAACACAUGCUUAAUUUUUGUGCUGUAAGCUAACUUGUAGAAUUCCAGUACGUCACAUGUUGUAUGUGCUUUAAAUUGUAUGUAUUCUGUAAAUUGUUGAAUGGGGAUGCUGAGAUUUUAUUGAUUGUGACCCAAACUGUGAAGAAGUGGGUUUGAAAUUUUGGUCAUGGAAUGUAGGAUCAGAAAACCAUGGACAAAGGUUUUAACGUGUGUUGAUAUGACUUUUGGAAACUCAAAUUGACCGGUCAAAAUUUUGCCAUGCCUUUAACAU